UGCCACGCAAACUUAUCCAGGCUGUUCAACUGUUUCCAGAGAGUCUCAUGUGUGCAAAGACUGAGAUUGUUGUCACUCUACAGACACCCCGUGGAAAGGUAUAUGUAUGCAUUGAUCCAAAGGGCACACAAGGGAGGAGACUACUAAAGAAGAGACAGCAGAGGGGGCAGAAGAGGCCAAACCAAAAGAGGGGGAAGAAACAGAGGAAACAGUGAAAGAACAGAGAGGCA